AACGAACGCUGGCGGCAUGCCUAACACAUGCAAGUCGAACGAGACCUUCGGGUCUAGUGGCGCACGUGUGCGUAACGCGUGGGAACCUGCCCUUAGGUUCGGAAUAACUCCCCGAAAGGGGUGCUAAUACCGGUUAAUGUCUUCGGACCAAAGAUUUAUCGCCUUUGGAUGGGCCCGCGUUGGAUUAGCUAGUUGGUAGGGUAAAAGCCUACCAAGGCGACGAUCCAUAGCUGGUCUGAGAGGAUGAUCAGCCACACUGGGACUGAGACACGGCCCAGACUCCUACGGGAGGGAGCAGUGGGGAAUAUUAGACAAGGGGCGAAAGCCUGAUCCAGCAAUGCCGCGUGAGUGAUGAAGGCCUUAGGGUUGUAAAGCUCUUUUACCCGGGAUGAUAAUGACAGUACCGGGAGAAUAAGCUCCGGCUAACUCCGUG
rnacentral:rRNA from 1 species